rnacentral:RNase_P_RNA from 1 species
CUAGGUGAAAUAAGUAGCUGCUGUUGUGCGAUAAACACAACAGAGGAAAGUCCGGGCUCCAAGGGAAAAUAGUGACGGGUAAUACCCGCCGGAGGUAACUCCAGUUAUAGGGCUACAGAAAAUUACCGCCUAAAUAUCUUUAGGUAAGGGUGAAAAGGUGUGGUAAGAGCACACCAUAGCAAUGGUAACAUUGGUAGUCGAGUAACCAACAUUAGGAGCAAGAUUAAAUUAAGGGUAGACUUUAUGUUUUCCUCAUAUCUACUCGGGUAAAUCGCAUGCAGUAAAUGGUAACAUUUACUUCAGAUAAAUAGCUACAUAAACAGAACUCGGCUUAUAUUUCACCUAGACAU